AAAUCCCACAGCAUAUUAGAAGCUUCCACAACAUAUUCAUAUUAUCUCUUUCCCCAAAUCCCACAACAUAUCUCUCUUUCCGCAAAUAAUAGCAAUUUCCCCACAAUGAGAGAAUUUAGUGUUCAUAUGCCUUCGAUUUUGCUCUAAUCAAUCUCUGUUUUUCUACUUGCAAGCUAAACGUAAGCUCCAAUCAUCUCUAUUUUAUGGUAAAUCAAUCAAUUUGCUGAAAGAGUGGGGAAAUUGCUAUUAUUUUAAGGUAGCCAAGGGAUCAAAAACUGCCGGUGAAGCUAUUGAGAUCAUAUUGAAGUGAUAAACUUAAUCAAGCAGGUGGCUAGGAAGACAGCCUUGAUCCAUAGCUUUAUUACUCAGGGACUACAUAGCGGAGCUCCAUUUCAUUCGCAGCUACAGCUUUUGGUAUUUAUUCUUUUGUGUGCAUAUUUAUGGGCAUAGCGGGGUCCUGUCCCGCCUAUAUGAUAUGACAUACUCUCCUUAGAGGCUCGUAGACAUGUGUAUAUGGGUAGAUGUGUUUGGCCUUGUCGGCCUAUAUUUUGGAUAUCAUUUUGUUAGCCUCGUCGGCUUAUGUACAUUGUUGUGGGCAUAGUUGUGAUGAUGAUAUAAAUGUAUUGUUGCCCAAUGGAAAUAGUAUGAAUGAGGAAUAAAAGUAUGAUUUAGCUAUGUGGCU